rnacentral:tRNA from 1 species
UGCGCCGUACGCAGGUCAGGCGCCGGCUCGUCAGGUGCGCCACGAGGUCGGCGAGGCCGGCCGUCAGCGCGUUCCGGCGCUCCGGCGCGA